rnacentral:rRNA from 1 species
UACGUAGGGGGCAAGCGUUGUCCGGAUUUAUUGGGCGUAAAGAGCGUGUAGGCGGCCAUGUAGGUCCGUUGUGAAAACUCGAGGCUCAACCUCGAGACGCCGAUGGAAACCAUGUGGCUAGAGUCCGGAAGAGGAGAGUGGAAUUCCUGGUGUAGCGGUGAAAUGCGCAGAUAUCAGGAGGAACACCCGUAGCGAAGGCGGCACUCUGGGCCGAUUCUGACACUGAGGAGCGAAAGCGUGGGGAGCGAACAGG